rnacentral:rRNA from 1 species
GACGAACGCUGGCGGCGUGCCUAAUACAUGCAAGUAGAACGCUGAAGGAGGAGCUUGCUCUUCUGGAUGAGUUGCGAACGGGUGAGUAACGCGUAGGUAACCUGCCUGGUAGCGGGGGAUAACUAUUGGAAACGAUAGCUAAUACCGCAUAAGAGUAGAUGUUGCAUGACAUUUGCUUAAAAGGUGCAAUUGCAUCACUACCAGAUGGACCUGCGUUGUAUUAGCUAGUUGGUGGGGUAACGGCUCACCAAGGCGACGAUACAUAGCCGACCUGAGAGGGUGAUCGGCCACACUGGGACUGAGACACGGCCCAGACUCCUACGGGAGGCAGCAGUAGGGAAUCUUCGGCAAUGGACGGAAGUCUGACCGAGCAACGCCGCGUGAGUGAAGAAGGUUUUCGGAUCGUAAAGCUCUGUUGUAAGAGAAGAACGAGUGUGAGAGUGGAAAGUUCACACUGUGACG